UACAGAGGUCUCAAGCGUUGUUCGGAUUCAUUGGGCGUAAAGGGUGCGUAGGCGGCGCGGUAAGUCGGAUGUGAAAUCUUGGAGCUUAACUCCGAAACUGCAUUCGAUACUGCCGUGCUUGAGGACUGGAGAGGAGACUGGAAUUUACGGUGUAGCGGUGAAAUGCGUAGAUAUCGUGAGGAAGACCAGUGGCGAAGGCGGGUCUCUGGACAGUUCCUGACGCUGAGGCGCGAAGGCCAGGGGAGCAAACGGG
rnacentral:rRNA from 1 species